ensembl:lncRNA
CUCUCCCUGGUCCACGGAGCUUCUCCUUGCGACUUGUGAGCUAUCCCCUACCCCCGGCUCCUACUUUCCUCAUCCCUCACUACUCCAGGAGAAAACUGAGAGUCCAAAGAGGGGAAGUUAUUUGGGCAAUAUUGGGGAGCCAUUAAGUGAUCCAGGUGCCUUGAGUCCUGUGAUUCCACCUGAGCUGCUCUCAUCCUCAGCCUUCAUCCUACCCAAGGUUUGCUGGGAGGGGAAGAGAUAUAAUGAGGGGAAGAGGCAGAGAAUGGCUCCUUUCUGUCUAAGGAGAGCCGGGGAAGGAGGCAAUGCUUCCCACCGACCUGACCCCCUGGAUUCUGUUUGGGGUUGCUCCCGUGGGAGAUUACAGGAUAAAAAAGGUAGACCGAGUCCUCUGGCCUGGACCGCUCCUUCUUGUGGCCACCUCUACAGAGGGGGAGCUACCAGGGGACCGGAACCAAACCUCGCCCUGCCCGGCCCACUGAGGCCCCCCAGACUCCAGUGCUAGAGACAAGGCAAUUGGCAGAAGGUGAGGCUGGGACGAGCGCUGGAGUUGGGAGCAGAGGUUGGGUUUCUGCUUUGCCAUUUGCUAUCCGUGGGAUCUGAGGACUGCCCCUCGCCUCUCGCCUCCAGCUCCCUGGCCUCUCUUCUGACGGCAGGCCUGCAGUGCCACACUCCGUGUAUUUGACAAGCUGAGUCGGACACUCCGUGUGGUAGAGUGUCAGUUUGUCAAAUACCCCAAGUGAGGCAUUUGCCUAGCAACCCCGGACUGGGGCCGAGUGGAUGACCAGCGGACCGCCUUGCCAGCCUCGGAUCUCCGGGCCCUGACCUCCAGAAAGCAGACGUCAACUCAAUCAAGGGGGCAGCUGCAGGUGGUGCUCUCGGCUUGGCCCGAGGUGUUUGGGAAGUGGUUGGAGACACAGAAAAUGGAAGGGGAGGGAAGGCAAGAAAGCUAAGCUUGAGUCCCACCUGUGCUAUUUCCUAGCAGCAUGACCUUGAGUAAGUCCCUUCCCCUUCAGUUAACACAUCUAUUAAAUGGGCUCCGAUGAGAAACCAGUGAGAAAACGUACAUAAAGUGCUUUGUAAACUGUGGCGCACUAGAUAAAAAUUUGCUUUUAAUAAUACCAAGGCUUCGGAGGUCUUCUCCCAUUCUAGGAGUAGCCACUCUUCAACCUCAUGACCUGGCUCCGUGGGGCUGGGCCCAGCAGGCUAUAUAAAGGUCAUCCAAGCCCUAUGGUCCCCCGCAUUGGGAUGAGGGAGAAGGAAGAACUGAAGUCACCUCCUUGGGCCCUGUGUUACCUUGCUAAAAUAAUUUCUGUUUAAGUCCCAACUUCUCCAAAUGGAGACAAUAAUCCCUGCCUCGACUACUCUUCAAGGCUGUUAGGAGAACCAAAUGACAGCCAUGUGUAUAAACUAGAAAGUGCUAGAGAGGUGGGAGUUAACAUUACUCUGCUAUUAUCAUUCCUGCUUAUUCUCUGUUAGAAUGGAAGCUCCUCGAAGCAGAGACUGUUUUGCUUUUGUUAUUGUAGCUGAAAUACAGCAGGCACUUAAUAAA